rnacentral:rRNA from 1 species
UACGUAGGUGGCAAGCGUUGUCCGGAUUUAUUGGGUUUAAAGGGUGCGUAGGCGGAUGCUUACGUCAGAGGUGAAAGACGGCCGCUCAACGGUCGCAGUGCCUUUGAUACUGGGUAUCUUGAGUGCAGACGAGGUCUGUGGAAUGGAUGGUGUAGCGGUGAAAUGCUUAGAUACCAUCCAGAACACCAAUUGCGAAGGCAGCAGACUAGGGUGCAACUGACGCUGAGGCACGAAAGUGCGGGGAUCAAACAGG